rnacentral:rRNA from 1 species
AGAACGAACGCUGGCGGCAGGCCUAACACAUGCAAGUCGAACGCUCGUAGCAAUACGAGAGUGGCAGACGGGUGAGUAACACGUGGGAACCUUCCCUAUGGUUCGGAAUAGCUCAGGGAAACUUGAGGUAAUACCGGAUAAGCCCUUACGGGGAAAGAUUUAUCGCCAUUGGAUGGGCCCGCGUCGGAUUAGCUAGUUGGUGAGGUAACGGCUCACCAAGGCGACGAUCCGUAGCUGGUCUGAGAGGAUGAUCAGCCACACUGGGACUGAGACACGGCCCAGACUCCUACGGGAGGCAGCAGUGGGGAAUAUUGGACAAUGGGCGCAAGCCUGAUCCAGCCAUGCCGCGUGAGUGACGAGGCCUUAGGUUGUAAAGCUCUUUGGCGGGAAGAGUAAUGACGGUACCCGCAGAAUAAGCUCCGGCUAACUUCGUGCCAGCAGCCGC